rnacentral:rRNA from 1 species
UGGGGAAUAUUGGACAAUGGGCGCAAGCCUGAUCCAGCCAUGUCGCGUGUGUGAAGAAGGCCUUCGGGUUGUAAAGCACUUUUGUUGGGAAAGAAAUCCUGUCGAUUAAUACUCGGCGGGGAUGACGGUACCCAAAGAAUAAGCACCGGCUAACUUCGUGCCAGCAGCCGCGGUAAUACGAAGGGUGCAAGCGUUACUCGGAAUUACUGGGCGUAAAGCGUGCGUAGGCGGUUCGUUAAGUCUGUCGUGAAAGCCCUGGGCUCAACCUGGGAAUUGCGAUGGAUACUGGCGAGCUAGCGUACGGUAGAGGAUGGUGGAAUUCCCGGUGGAGCGGUGGAAUGCGUAGGGAUCGGGAGGAACACCAGUGGCGAAGGCGGCUACCUGGACCAGCACUGACACUGAGUCACGUAAGCGUGGGGAGCAAACA